rnacentral:rRNA from 1 species
GCUCGAGUGGCGAACGGGUGAGUAACACGUGGGUGAUCUGCCCUGCACUUCGGGAUAAGCUUGGGAAACUGGGUCUAAUACCGGAUAGGAGCCAUCUUUAGUGUGGUGGUUGGAAAGUUUUUUCGGUGUAGGAUGAGCUCGCGGCCUAUCAGCUUGUUGGUGGGGUAAUGGCCUACCAAGGCGGCGACGGGUAGCCGGCCUGAGAGGGUGUACGGCCACAUUGGGACUGAGAUACGGCCCAG